rnacentral:misc_RNA from 1 species
AUGUUUUCUUUUCCAAUAAAAGCAACAUCAACGUGACGUUUUCGGGUCAAUACUGGAACAAACGGAAAUGACGUUAAUCUGUUUAUACGUUGUCAUAACAUCGAGACGUCGUGAAUGAAUAAGAUGUGGAAAAAAUACAAUAAAUUUGCCGGCACCGGCGCUCCAGGAAUACCGUCAAACCCUGCGCAGACAGGUCGGAGGUCGGUAUGUGGAGAAGACUCGUUAGAAGAAUCACAGAUGGAAGCGGAAUUUUACCGUCUAAAGCGACAGUUACACAUGAUGGAGGGGGACAGGCGGGCUUACUGUGAAGAAAGUGGAAAUGCGAUAAGAAAACAACAGACUGAGAUUCGCUCCCUAAACGAAGAAAGCGACAACAUGAAUAAAAUUUUACGACUAGCAAUGAGCGACAGGAACCAGGCGGACGAUGAACGCGAUAUAAAUACACUACUGGGUCUAAUGGACAAACUGGACGAGUACAAGAGACUGUGCACACAAGAGGAACGCAGAAUUAAGGAACUUGACGAAGAUAUUGCAAGGACACAAGAGCUGAUAAAUGAAGAACGUAAAAAUCUUGGUAGUGUGACAGAAACGACCCUAGAAAUGAGCAUCGAAAAGAGAUUACAUACCACCGAAAACAGACUUGAUCAGGCAGUGAUCAAGUUCAACGAACAACUGGCAACAAAUGCACAACUCCGCGAAGAACUCGACCAUCUACGCAAAGACAAGGCUACUUUUGAUGCCAUACACAAGAAACUGACUGAUGAGUUGGAGGAGACCAAAUUGUCAAUCAAUGACAGUAUAACAAUAGCGGCACAGGCGUAUGAAGAAAGGGACGAAGCGCAGAAUAAAAUGAUUGCACUAAAAGAGCGCAGUGACAAGGAUAAGCUUCAGCAAAAUGUCGAGAUGAAAGAACUACAGAGGAUUAUCAAGCACGACGAUAAACUAAAAGAAUUUAUGGGUAUCAAAGUCCACGAUCGAGCCGACCUACGUGAGGAGGAACAAGCCAAAAAGGCCAAAGGAAAAGAUGCCGGUGAUAAAGAUGCAGAAAUAGAGAAACAGUCGAUACUGAAACUAGAGGAAGCUUUCAAUCGUGUAACUGCGGUAACAGGAGAACACGACAUAAAUAAGAUUGUCAGCGACUUCAUCAGAAAAGAGGACAAAAACUUUGCUCUAUAUAACUACGUAAAUGAGUUGAGCGACACAGUUGAAAACAUUCAAGAAGAGAUCAAGUGUCUGCAGACGGAGAUCAAGUUAUUCGAAGACGAUGACGUCAAAAGCGAGGAAACCAGGCAUAAAAUGGUCCGGGAUAUGGAGAUUAAAGCUGAACAGUUCGAGAGGGAAUUCGAGGAUGCACAAAAGAAGGACAAAGAAAUCUGCAAAGUUCUUGACGAAGUAAGAGUGAACGUCGGCAUACUAUUUAAGGACGCGAACUGUGACUCAAGCACAAUCUUUGAAACGCUUGGAAGUGAGAAAGGAGUGACCAACAAUAAUAUUCUCCAGUAUAUGGGUAUAAUAGAACAGCGAACCAUGGAGCUGAUCAAACUACAACAAUACAUACAAAUGAAAGUAAAAAGAACCGCCAAAGCAAGACAGUAAGUGUCAGCCAACACCUCCGGCUUUACAAUUAAGUGGCAGAACCAGUCCAAAGCACGUGCAGGUUGCCAUAGUACCGCCGACUUCCGUUGAAAAUGAAGAAUUUGAUGAAGAGUUACGGCCCCUUACAAGAAAUGAAAUCAAAUCUGUUGUACUUAGAACAAUCAACACAAAACUUGCCGGUGGUGAACAACUACGAAAAUCUGACGGCAAAAAGAAAUAAAGCAAAGUCACCCAAUCUACUGCAAUAGC